UGGGACGUGGUGUACGGUGCACCGCUGCAUUCAGUUGGCAUUUGAUAACGAAGUUAAGCAGCAGGUCGGGGUUCGAUUCCCCGAGUCCCAC